GUGGUGUUUGGAUCGUCCCUGCCGGCUGGCUCCGUGCCCGUCCACCGAACGGCCGGCAGGCGAUCCGCGUCGGUCUAGCGAGGUGGUGUUAUGUACGGUUACCCAGAGGCCGGUUCUUGUGCUGCCUACCCCUUCAGGGGAAGCACGGGCCACUUGAUGUAAGCCUCCAUCCGGCGCCCUCCAACGGGCGCCGGAGGACAGCGGAGCACCCCCCGCGUUCCACCGAGCCCUCGUCGGUCGCGUGGCCCGCGGGGACGUGCGAUGCUCUCGGACCCAGCGCACGCCGCGGGGCGAGGACUCACGUCCCGGCCCCAAGAGAAGCUUCGACCCAACGAUGACGGCCCGCUCCGGCCCCCGUCCGCCCCGGCGGCGCGGGGGCGCGGCGCGGCGUCUCGGAGGAAUGCUACCU
rnacentral:misc_RNA from 1 species